rnacentral:rRNA from 1 species
CCCUUAGAUGUUCUGGGCCGCACGCGUGCUACACUGAGUAAUUCAAUGGGUAAGGGAACGCUAGAGCAUUACCUAAUCUUGAAAUUUGCUCGUGAUGGGGAUCGACGGUUGCAAUUUUCCGUCGUGAACGAGGAAUACCUUGUAGGCGCAUGUCAUCAUCAUGCGCCGAAUACGUCCCUGCCCUUUGUACACACCGCCCGUCGCUCCUACCGAUUGAGUGAUCCGGUGAGACUCUGGGACCUGGACGGAAAGAGCGUUUCGCUUGUUCUGUUUGGGAAACUUGGUCGAACCUUAUCAUUUAGAGGAAGGAGAAGUCGUAACA